rnacentral:rRNA from 1 species
GAUGAACGCUGGCGGCGUGCUUAACACAUGCAAGUCGAACGGGGGUUAUUUCAUUGAAGCUUCGGCAGAUUUGGCUUAAUCCUAGUGGCGGACGGGUGAGUAACGCGUGGGUAACCUGCCUUGUACAGGGGGAUAACAGUCAGAAAUGACUGCUAAUACCGCAUAAGCGCACAGGACCGCAUGGUCCGGUGUGAAAAACUCCGGUGGUAUAAGAUGGACCCGCGUUGGAUUAGCUUGUUGGUGGGGUAACGGCCCACCAAGGCGACGAUCCAUAGCCGGCCUGAGAGGGUGAACGGCCACAUUGGGACUGAGACACGGCCCAGACUCCUACGGGAGGCAGCAGUGGGGAAUAUUGCACAAUGGGGGAAACCCUGAUGCAGCGACGCCGCGUGAAGGAAGAAGUAUCUCGGUAUGUAAACUUCUAUCAGCAGGGAAGAAAAUGA